rnacentral:rRNA from 1 species
AGCGAACGCUGGCGGCAGGCCUAAUACAUGCAAGUCGAGCGCACCUUCGGGUGAGCGGCGGACGGGUGAGUAACGCGUGGGAACGUGCCCUUUGGUACGGGAUAACUGAGGGAAACUUCAGCUAAUACCGUAUGUGCCCUACGGGGGAAAGAUUUAUCGCCAUUGGAGCGGCCCGCGUUGGAUUAGGUAGUUGGUGGGGUAAAGGCCCACCAAGCCGACGAUCCAUAGCUGGUCUGAGAGGAUGAUCAGCCACACUGGGACUGAGACACGGCCCAGACUCCUACGGGAGGCAGCAGUAGGGAAUCUUGCGCAAUGGGCGAAAGCCUGACGCAGCCAUGCCGCGUGAAUGAUGAAGGUCUUAGGAUUGUAAAAUUCUUUCACCGGGGAAGAUAAUGACGGUACCCGGAGAAGAAGCCCCGGCUAACUUCGUGCCAGCAGCCGCGGUAAUACGAAGGGGGCUAGCGUUGCUCGGAAUUACUGGGCGUAAAGGGCGCGUAGGCGGAUGUUUAAGUCGGGGGUGAAAGCCCGGGGCUCAACCUCGGAAUUGCCUUCGAUACUGGACAUCUUGAGUACGGGAGAGGUGAGUGGAACUCCGAGUGUAGAGGUGAAAUUCGUAGAUAUUCGGAAGAACACCAGUGGCGAAGGCGACUCACUGGCCCGUUACUGACGCUGAGGCGCGAAAGCGUGGGGAGCAA